UGGAACCUACAGUAUGUACACUCAAAAAAAAUUAUCUAAAUUUUAAAGUUCUAUUAUAUUUAAAUGGUAAAUAUUUUAAGAUAUUAAGAAAUUAAAAUCUUUUGAAUUUUUUGGAGCGAACCAGAACGACAAAAUGAUCCGAGUCAAAUAUACAAAUAGUAUGUGCCGCCGGUUGUUAACGUGUGCGCCAGGCUGUUGACCAACUGCGAGGCGCUGGCAAUUGAGGAUGUGUCCAGACAUUACAGCUCUGAAUUUCCUGAAUAUACAUAUAUUUUGACAGCGCCCAUAAAGAUAGCAUUCAAAUAUGUGAAUGUAACAAAAAUAAAAACUUUACCUCUUAAAAUGAUCUGUGCUUGAACUAAAAGAAUGUACGGGAUAACUUUCACUUUUUGAAUCAUAUAAGAUAUGCUAGAUAUACAUAUAUAUAUGUGAUAAACGGGGGUUGUUAAUCGAUUCUUAUCGAUUGUGCCAAAUGUUAACGCUUCUAUACCAAAAAGCCUCUGAGAACUGAGUCGGACAGGUUAAACACAUGGACGGCUAUCAAGAAUAUAGUUACUUUAUAAAGGGUAAAAUCUUACCAAUAUUGCUUAAGCUAUGAAUGUUAAAAAUGUUUAAAAUGGCUAAGCAACUUAAAAUUGCUCAGUUUUUGUAUGCUUUAUAGCACUUUCAUCGUAUCUACUUGGCUCGUUUAGAGAUCUUAUCGCUGCUGGCCCGCUGCCUUGACCAAACUCUGCCAUUUCCUAUCCAAUUAAGCAGACGUCGUCGACGGCCUGUCAGCGGCGUGCAAAGGUGAAAAGUUUCAGUUGAUAUCAAAUGUGCCAAACCAUGGCGAAAUCGCGUGACUGUCAACCAGUGAAAUUUUCUGGCUGUGAGCAGCGUGCAAGACUUCUGUCUAAAUACCCUUGCAGAGGAUACAUUUCAUAUGCAUAGCAGUGCAAAGCUUAUGGGAAUAUUUAUUUACCGCGGAAAUGUGGCAACUCUAUCGAUCAGUUAUCGGACUAGGAAUAUGGUCAUCAGUCAGUAUUUUGUCAGCAUAUCAAUCUGUUU